rnacentral:rRNA from 1 species
AUUGAACGCUGGCGGCAUGCUUUACACAUGCAAGUCGAACGGCAGCGCGGGCUUCGGCCUGGCGGCGAGUGGCGAACGGGUGAGUAAUGCAUCGGAACGUGCCCAGUAGUGGGGGAUAGCUCGGCGAAAGCCGGAUUGAUACCGCAUACGACCUGAGGGUGAAAGCGGGGGACCGAAAGGCCUCGCGCGAUUUGAUCGGCCGAUGUCGGAUUAGCUAGUUGGUGGGGUUAAGUCUUACCAAGGCGGCGUUCCGUAGCUGGUCUGAGAGGACGACCAGCCACACUGGGAGUGAGACACGGCCCAGACUCCUACGGGAGGCAGCAGUGGGGAAUUUUGGACAAUGGGGGCAGCCCUGAUCCAGCCAUGCCGCGUGCGGGAAGAAGGCCUUCGGGUUGUAGACCGCUUUUGUUCGGGAAGAAAUCCUCUGGGCUAAUACCCCGGGGGGAUGACGGUACCGGAAGAAUAAGCACCGGCUAACUACGUG